CUUGAUGUAAAGUCUAAAUGAGGAGAGUGGUAAUGCUGGCGAAUGCGCUGCGAUGGGACCGCCACCUGUCUGGAUUGCAGGAGAAAUAUUGUUUGUCAAGCUUCAAGUUUAAAUCCAAGUAACUGUGGACAGCUGACGGGAAGCAACUGUGAAUCGAUCCUGGGAAUGAACAUGUAUUUGAGUCAUUUGGCUGGUUUAUGUCUCCUGUGUAGAGGUGUAGCUUCACAAAAUGCCUACUGCCUGCAGGAAGAACUCCCUCCGAACAGAUUCUCUACCUGAGCAUCAGGGAAGGAAAUAAAUCUGGAACUGGUGACAUUUCAAGGACAAGGAAAACAACCGCUCGGAGAAUUAUCUGAUUCCGUUGGUGUUUAUUUUUACUUAUAUCUAGCAAUCUGCGCUCCAACAGAAGAUGCUUAUUUGCAGAAAAGAAGGCUGUCUCCUGUCUGGACUGGUGCCUGGUCUGGAGAAAAGAUGGCACUAAGGACAAGAGCAACUUCCAACUGCCUGUACCCAUAAAAUGGUGGAAAAUAAAGGGACUGAAAGCAGCAUGAAGGGACGUAAGAUAUUCUCCAACAGCAGCAGAACACUGCUCUUUGUUGCUCUGUUGCUCUUCAUGAUCUCAAAGCACUAGUCUGGAAAAGAAAAUCUAUUUUCUCCACAGUGAAGCAAGUUUUAAUCCAAGUUUUGUUUUACUACUCCAUUGAAGACAACAUACUUGUACAAGACUGGUUCUGUCUCCAUAAAUAUCUAUGAAGCAGGAAAGGAAUUUGAAUGUAUAGUGCCCUUAGAGACGGAUACAAUGGCACUAUUAAUCCACAGUAAUUACUGCCCUACCUUGUAGCUGGUAGUUUCUAGGACUUGUCAUGAGCCUGCUGAGCACGAGACUAACUCUCUUGUACCUGGUUAGUAUAGAGACAGUGUGCACUACGUGUUCAACAGAGUGCAAGGUAAGCUCUGAAUGCCAGAAUUCAUUUUUGUGAUUCAAGA
ensembl:lncRNA